rnacentral:lncRNA from 1 species
ACAUGUAUAUACUAGUAUACCAGUUUUGUCAAUGUUGAAGCUACUUUAAAUUUAUCCGUAAGAUUGCUUUCGUAUGGAUGAAUAUCCUUCAAGUUUCAUUCAAUGAUAUAACAGCUGUAGCCAUGUGAAUAACGAAAUUUAAAAGUGCAAUAAUACAUUUUUAACAAUAACAGCAAAGAUAAUGAAUAAUACAGAUGGGCUAUUUAAUUUUGUACAUAUACCGUUAUGUUGAAUAAGUUUCUUUAAAAGUCUUUGUAUGACGAUUGUUUCGACAAG